GAUGGACAUCACUCCCCCCCCCCCAGUACCUGGCUUUACUUAGAUUCAUUGAAAAGAUACUGAGUUAUAAAUCCACUUCCGUGACCUAUACCUCAAGAUGGUAUUUCAACGACACAUAACUAAAUACUGUAAUAACCUACUGUUGUACUCUGAAUACUAUUUCACUAUUGCACCGACACCUAUAUUGUCUAAACUCUUCAAUAAACAUUACAACAACAAAAAAAUCAGAUCGGCCAAAUAUGGGUGUGAGAAAGACUAUGCUGAAUCUUUUUGUGUCCAAUAAAAAUCUGCACUUGAUAUAACCUUGUGUUUCCAGUCCAUUCAUCUUAUUUCAUCAGAUAUGGGAACGCAGUAUGGUAUGGCAGAGAUGUUAAUUUUGAAAGCACACAUGUUCAGUGUAACCAGAAGGAGAGGACAAGAAUUUUAAAGAUAAAUGUGAAAAAUGUUGAGCAUCAUGAAAGUGACCCUUGAGUGGAGCCAUAAUUACUUGUUUUGUACUCCACAGCAAUGCUUAAAUAACUUCAGUAAAGGAGUCAAAGCUGUGCAAAAUAAGUAAAGAAUUUAU